CUUAAAUACUACUUGUACGCCUUGUAGUUAAAAAAUUCCAAUUUAUUUUUGUUUGGUUGACAGUCGUAUGAUAACAAUGUUGUCAACAUACAACUGUUCACUAUCAAAAUAAUGCUUGAAACGCCAAAUAAAAAGUUUAAUUACAACUAAACGAAUUAGCAAUACUGGUGGAAACAUUGUGAAAUUUCUCCAAAUUUAAUUGAUGUUAAGCAACAUUUUCCGCACAAUCGAAGUCAGUACUAUGUUUAAAUUUAAAAAUUCUGUCCAGUGACAAAAAUCAUUAGAGCAAUAUUCAAAUGGCUGCCAGGUACAAAAUAACACAAGAAUAAUUUGUAAGGCACAUACAGUGGUUCAUAAUAUUUACGCGACAGAGAAAUAUCCAUCUCAAACAAAACGAAGACAGAUCAUAACACCAAACCAUGAUGAAGUUAUACGAAAAUGGAAGACAUCAUAAAAUCGGAAUAAGUCCAAAUAAAGUCUGAAAGAUUUUGAAUUACCAAGUGAGAUCUGCUUAUAAUUGUUAUUUUUAUUUAUUUUUUGAAAAAAAAUCUCAACAUAAUACGUUCAUGAAAAUUUUUUCAAGUAAUGAGAGAAUGUCCUACUGAUUGGAAUAAGCCAGUUUUUUUGCCUCAAAACCUUUUAUUUAAAAAAUGUAAUCAUGGAAAAGUUUCGCUAAAAGCGAAUAAAGUAUCACACUUUAAA
rnacentral:sRNA from 1 species